CGGGAUCCCUGCUACAUGCUGCUCUGGAGGUCUCGGUCCAGGAGAAGGCGAGCAGCUCUGCUUCCUGCAGGGACUGAUCAGAGUUUAGAGCAAUGCAUACUGUACAGUUAGGACCCUGGGGUCUCAACAUCUCAAGAGGAUAUUGGGAUGAUAUCAGUGUGCCUGGUGACAGCGGUACAAGCCAGGGAUGGGAUUCCUGGACAGUCUGGCAAUCGUGCUUGCAAACCAGAACCUCCUUUAUCUGUCAGAAGUAGAAAGGGCAUGGGAACCUUUGGAGCCAGCCUGACCCAGGUCCAAGGAGCUAUUUAGAGGAACAGUCUAGGAAAUUAGGACUUUAACAGGGAUUGCCUUGUACAUUGUCUAGAAGAGAUACCGCACCCAGUGGAAAGCAAGGUUAUGCCCAGAUGAGUUAAGUAUUUUCUCAAGCACCUGAAAGUGAACAGUAGCUCCAAACAACUGUAGGAACAAUUUGCUUCGAGUGACCAAGAUCACCAGUAUAAGCGUAUGUAAUGAAAAGAACUGAGCAUACACAGACAGUCAAAGGCUCUUUUCCUGCGUCUACAAAUUUACAAAAAGAUAAAAAUUGGGAUAACGGGCUUCCACCUCUACUGGGGAGCAAAGUUUCAUAGAUCUGAGGAUGAUUCAACUAAAAGGGGAGAAAAGUAAUGCUGUCCUGCAACUUGUACAGUCAGUGGCUUGGCCUGUGUGUGCAACACCACUCACCAGCUAAGCAGAUCUGGGCUUGGUCUAUAGCUUGAUGAGUGACUGGCCAACAUUUGGCAUGGGGACAUUUUUCUUGGAGCCUGUAUGGAACAAAUAAAUGCCCAAUGUGACACUACAUCGUGUUGUACAAGUCAUGAAAGUGAGGUUUUGGGGUACAUGGUCAGUGAAGAUCCUCCUUACAAAAGGAGAUGCUAGCCCCCAGUUCCAAUCCAGGCAAUAAUGUCCAUGUCCCUGCCUGAACCUCCUCAAGCAGCUUCAGCUGGACACAGCUGGGUCUAAUUUUCCACUUGGUUUGCAAUAAAAAAGAAUCACCUUUGCUUUUGUGUAGGGCAAGGGAGAAUUUGUUUUGCUCCUGGUGCCAAACAGCUAGAGCAGCAUGGUUGUAGGCUAAGACACAGCCAGCUUUCCUGUCAAAGGUGGUUGUUUUCCAAGAGGUGCGUGAGUUCUGCCGAAUGAUUUAUGAGUCUUUUGAUGAAAAGAACAAAUGCAAAAGAAUCAUCCUAUUUUGAGGCGAUGUAAAACUAGAGGACUAGGUAAUAGCCACAAAUAAUACAUUUCCCCAUUGGCAUGCUUGUCUAGGAGAGCCCUCAAAUGAUAAAUGUUAAGAUCAAGGAAAGAUGCAUUAAGAACCAUUAAAAGGAUGAACAGAUGGCAGGCAGAAUGGCUAGAAACAGGCACGGCCAGCUAUUGCAGGUUGAGCUGUGCCAGGCAGGAUGCUGACAGGAAAAAGUAGCUAUGAGAAGAUGUGGGAUUGCUCAGAGAAGGAUCAGGGCUGCACCAGCACUACAGGAUGGGGAUGUCCCCUCUCCUUUUCAUUUCCAUUCUUAAAUGCAGGAGAUCCUUAGUGGCUAUGUCAAACCUGUCUGGUCCAAACCUAUUUCAGAGGAGAGGUUUGCAUGGCUGCUGGUCUUCUACCCCUUUCUUAGAAGGAAGCAAAUUGUUUUGAUGAAUCUGAAGCUGAAGCUGUGGAGUAAGGCUGGUGUAGGCAGGACCCUAUGGAAGCAGAAAACAUAGAAUAUUGUAUGCAUCUGGGAGAGAAGAGACAGUGUCUGGGGAGGAUGCCAGUGGCAAAAGCCACAGAAGCAAUUUAACAAAUGCAAAACACUGAGCAGAGCAUUCAGAAAUCACCUCCAAAACUGUUUAGGUCUUAAUGACUGAGCGAGCCACAGAAAUGAACUGAGCAAAAAAGAAAAACAAGAUGCAGCCAAGAGGUCACUGGCCUGGGCUUCCUUGAGCUGAUAGUCACAGACAGACAUGGCUUCACUUCAGUGUAAAUCUUGUCUCCUCUCCUGAAAGCAUGCUAUUAAUGUUAGUACUGUUCCCUCUUCCUGUGUCAGCUGGGUUGUCAGUGUGCACCUAGAGUGGCCAUCAUAGAGGACAGUCCUGUUGUCCUCUGUCCUCUAUUGAUAUGAAACUGGAUGCCUUUAUGUCCUCUAUUUUUCUGUUGAAGAGAAAAAUGGAGGACAUAAAUGCAUUGGGUUUCAUAUCAAUAGAAGACAGAGGACAGAGUAGCAGAAAACCGGCAUGUCCUCUAUGAUGGCCACAGUGCGCCACCCUUUGGCAUGGCCCUUUCUCCCGGCCAGCCUGUGGGACUGGCUUUUUGCCAUUCAAGAGAAGAAACAGAAGAUAAAAUAGGACAGUAACAACUUUGGCCUUCUCAUCAGUACUGUGGGUGCCAGUCAGACAGUAGCAAUGUGAGUUGCCACCAGCAUUAUCUAGGUAGUCAGCAUGCUGCAAGUUCUCAUCACAGUAAUUAGUUUCAUAUUAGUUCCCCUCUCUGCCCCUGUCUCUUUUUGUCCCUUUUCUUUUCAGCUCUUCUCAUUACAUAUGAACCAAUGCUGAACCCAGAGGGACCCUGUUGCUGGACUAGCACUUCCUGCCUCUUUUGCAAUAAAUGCAUUAUUGUUAUAUUUCUUAUUAAAAUGUAAUUAAUGUAAUUAAACUUCUGAUGAAAAUCACAAUUUUAGCCAAGGAAUCCUGAUAGCCCAUUGUUUGCUGUCUAGCAUCAGGAAAAACAAGGUUUUUGACAUUUCCAUUUUGCCAUUGAGGGACAUCUUUGCAAUAUCUACUCCUGUGCUCCUAACCAGUGUGUGAGAUCAUUCAAAUAACAAGGAGUGUUCCUAUUUGUUGCAACUUCCAUUUUUCUCACAUGUUUCAACUUCAAAGCACUGUGAACAAGAAGCAAGUAAUUCCUACCACAUCUCAGCGACGUGUAACCACUCGGCAGUGUGGCAGUGAGCAUGUCUGCAUGCAUAGGUUGAGAAGAGUAGGCAGGUCAGUCAUUUCAUCCCCAUUUUACACACUAAGGCACCAAUGUGGAAAUGAUGUACACCAACCCCAGGAGACAUAGAAGCUGUCAGCAGUACAGCUGAGGUUAACACACAAGAGUUCCUGGCUCCCGCCCCAGACCCACGGUAUGAAUCCCUAAACUUUGAUUGACCUUUCCUUAUCAGUUGCAUUUCUUUACUUUCUUGCCUCUUGCCCUUGGGCAAUGAAACCAGGUUGCUCUGUUCCACUGUUAGUGGCCAGUUUCAUUUCUCAAUUCUUAUACACCAGCCAGAUCCCUUUCGGUUGGGUUCGCAGGAUGUUUAAAAGUGACCAAAAUAAUUUCCCCUGAACUCACUUCCCUCUCUCCUUGCCCUGUUUUUUCUGGGAAAAAAACCCUUUUAAAAAUAUAACAGCUAAAAGCGGGGACUUACCCCUCUGCCCUGACCCUUCUUGGUAGAGCUGAAUUAUUUAAAAACAGAUGCAGGCUAGACCCCUCAUAUUCUUGUCAGUGGCUUUAUUUGCCUGACUCUACAGAGGCUUCACCUGCACUGAUCCUGAUGGGGAGGAUCAUAGAGCUAUGUUUGCUUUCUGAACUGAGCAAAAAGGACUAGAGAAAACACUGCGUAGGGGCCCUAGUUAGAACAUCACGGUCCAGCUAAUGCCAGAGCUUUUAGUGAAUCGUGCUUCAGUAGGAGCUGCACAGGUGGGUGCUCAAAGCAGUUCAGCAGCUGUGGCCAGUGCAGUGCACCAUACUGUUCCAUUUUGCUCAAGUGCCUUUUCUUGGACUGAAACUCCCAGAGCGCCUCCUUGAACACAGGGUGUGGUACAGUGUAGCUCAGAGCCCUGGCAGCUUCAGCGCCAGACAGUUCUGUUUGGGAACUGAUAUCAGGUGAGCUUGUUCCUGAGAAGUAGUUUGCAUGAGGAGGAUGAUAAGUAUCAUUGUGAAGCUGCCAACUUCCUUUCAAGACCCAGGGGAGUGGUGCUUUCCCCCACUGGAAGAAAUGAAUGAGGAAUUGAUGAAUAGUCAGACAGAGCCAUGUGCAACAUUUUAUGGGUAAAAUCCACUUGGGGAAAGCACUUGGGGUUUUCUUUUUCCUACUGGAUGGAGACAAGUGCUUAAAGUCUGGCAAUCAGGUCUCAUAGUAGAGAUGAUAUCUUUUAUUAGAGCAACAACAUUUUUGCAAAACAAAAUCUUUUAUUGCAAGCUUUCGGGCACAAACACCCUUCAUCAGGCAUUGGAGAAAAGAUUGUAGAAGUCGUAAAGUCUGGAGCACUUUGCACCUCUGAGGGAGGAUGGGACCACCAGGGGAGAGUUUGUGGCUUCAAGUGUUACUGCAGCAUUGCUAUUAAAUAAGAACAGUAAAUAAUAAUAAAGCCACCUUUGCAUUCUUCAA